CCGGUCUUUAGCCCGGGGCUGACCGGAGGAGGAAGCAAAAAGUUGCCGCUUAGGAGCAGGCUGGGGCGUUCCGGGUCCUGUCGUUUCAGACUGCUGGAAUUAAGGCUACAUUGUUUUCUGUCUACUAUAACCCCAAGGACCCUAUCAGCAGAGUUACUCCUUCCAAUGCCUUUCUUCACAGGGAUCCUGAGCCAAACCAGUCUGUUUAAUUGCUGUUUCUCUGCACACCUAAGGAUAACACUGCAGGAAAGCAGUGGGUGGACAGCUCAGCAUUGACUUACAGUUUUAGUGAAGGUGAUGGCAUGAUGGAUUAAAGCAUUACUGCAUGUGGCACCCUGACAGACAGAAAGAGAGAGAUGAGUGUGAGAAAAGUCCUCAUCUACUUCAUUGUAUUCUGAAAUCUGCCUCAUAUGAAGAGUGGCAAAGCCAAAUUCAUGGAUGAAGAGAAGUUUAAUAAUAAUGUCUGUGCAACUCACACGCUACUAGCCAAGCAAAAUGAAGAUUUAAAAGGCUGACACCAAAGAAGAGAGAAGAGUCAGCAAAAGGCC